rnacentral:rRNA from 1 species
UACGUAGGCAGCAAGCGUUGUUCGGAGUUACUGGGCGUAAAGGGUGCGUAGGCGGCUUUUUAAGUUUGGUGUGAAAUCUCCCGGCUCAACUGGGAGGGUGCGCCGAAUACUGAGAGGCUAGAGUGUGGGAGAGGAAAGUGGAAUUCCUGGUGUAGCGGUGAAAUGCGUAGAUAUCAGGAGGAACACCGGUGGUGUAAACGGCUUUCUGGACCAUAACUGACGCUGAGGCACGAAAGCGUGGGGAGCAAACAGG